CAGCCGUAAACUAUGCGCGUUAGGUGUAUCGGUGACCACGAGUCACCGAGGUGCCGAAGGGAAACCGUGAAACGUGCCGCCUGGGAAGUACGGUCGCAAGGCUGAAACUUAAAGGAAUUGGCGGGGGAGCACCGCAACGGGAGGAGCGUGCGGUUUAAUUGGAUUCAACGCCGAAAAACUCACCAGCAGCGACUGUUACAUGAAAGUCAGGUUGAUGACCUUACUAGAUUUUUCAGAGAGGAGGUGCAUGGCGUAGACGUCU
rnacentral:rRNA from 1 species